rnacentral:tRNA from 1 species
GAGGGUGUGGCUCAGUGGCAAAGUGUGUGCCUAGCAUGCAUGAGGUCCUGGGUUCGAUCCCUGGUACCUCCA